rnacentral:misc_RNA from 1 species
AGGAGAGUCUGUAGCAGUAGAGUAGCCUUGUUGCUACGAUCUGCUGAGGCUCAGCUUUUGUUCUACAGAUUUGUCCUUUUGGACUCUCUAUGAUUGGCAUGGACUGGGGGGCGACUCCAGCGUAUUAAUCAUAGACAGUUUAACAAGACAUGAAGUAGAGAGUAGAGAACAAGAACGUAUGUAGUGCAGAAGAAGAAGGAGACGAGCAGCGAGCGACUUGGCAGAGUUCUGACUUGGUCGAAUUUCUCAAAGUUGCAAGUUGGAAGGAUGGACUGGGGGAGACAAGGGCUCUGUAGCAGCGCGGUUGAGGACUUGGACAGGUCCCCUUCGCAGAGAGCAAGGCUCCAGGCAGUGCGAGCGGUGGGUGAGGGUGAGGACUGGGCUGAGGCCAAAGUUGAGAGCUGGCAGACUUGGGUUGGUACUGGUGAGCAUGCUGGGUUCUGCAAAGGACCAAGUAUGAGUGCUGAUGCCCCCAAGGCUGCCAGUUUGCUUGUGUGUCCUUCCAGGAGCGACAGGCUUAUAGGGGCUGUUCUGACAUACUGUCAUCUACGGCCAUAGGAUCCAGAAAAUACCGCAUCCCGUCCGAUCUGCGAAGUCAAGCUAAAA